AUAGGAAGUGACUGAAAGUAAUUUUCAUUCUGAAUAUCCAAGUUUCCAUGUCCCACUGCUAGAGCCAUAUUAAAACUCCAAAGUAAUUAAACUCCUCAAAAUAAUUCUGUAAAUUACUGUCUUCGGCAAAAUUUCGGUUCCUAAAAGAAUGCAGAGUGAGCUCGGCUAUUUUUGACUUGUUCUCAUGCUCUCUCCCACAGUGUGUAGCUGCGUUUGCUGUAUCUGCUGUUGCUUCUCAGUGGGAACGGACUGGAAAGCCUUUCAACCCACUGCUGGGAGAGACUUAUGAAUCAGUGCGAGAUGACCUUUGAUUUAGACUCAUCUCCGAAGAGGUCAGCCAUCACCAACCAAUCAGUGCAUUUCAUGCUGAAGGAUUAAACAAUGACUUCAUCUUUCAUGGCUCAAUCUAUCCCAAACUGAAAUUCUGGGGGAAGAGUGUAGAAGCAGAACCCAAAGGAACCAUCACCUUGGAGCUCCUUGAAUACCCCGGACAGAAGACAAAGCAACAACCCAAAGACUCUGAAAAGCAGAUAGUAGCAGGCAGACUGGGGAAAGAAAUCAAAACCUGAACACCAA